rnacentral:rRNA from 1 species
UACGUAGGGUGCGAGCGUUAAUCGGAAUUACUGGGCGUAAAGCGUGCGCAGGCGGUCUGUUAUGUCUGAUGUGAAAGCCCCGGGCUCAACCUGGGAAUGGCAUUGGAAACUGGCAGGCUCGAGUUUGGCAGAGGGGGGUGGAAUUCCGCGUGUAGCAGUGAAAUGCGUAGAUAUGUGGAGGAACACCGAUGGCGAAGGCAGCCCCCUGGGUUAACACUGACGCUCAGGCACGAAAGCGUGGGGAGCAAACAGG